UACAGAGGUGGCAAGCGUUGUUCGGAAUUACUGGGCGUAAAGGGCGCGUAGGCGGCCUUCUAAGUCAGACGUGAAAUCCCCAGGCUUAACUUGGGAACUGCGUCUGAUACUGUUGGGCUGGAGCACUGUAGAGGCUCAUGGAAUUCCGGGUGUAGCGGUGGAAUGCGUAGAGAUCCGGAAGAACACCGGUGGCGAAGGCGGUGAGCUGGGCAGUAGCUGGACACUGAGGCGCGACAGCGUGGGAGCAACAGG
rnacentral:rRNA from 1 species